AUUCACCCAUCAAGAUAUACUGAGUUCCUCAACCCUGCCCCGGACUAGGCUAGGUUUCUGGGAUACACAUGUGAACAAGGUAGAUGCAGUCCCCAUGCUCUCAUUAACUUGCAUUACAAAAAAUCACCCAAGAGCACGUUAAGACAUAGAUCUCCAAGUCCCGCUCCCAGAUUUUCUGACGAUGCCCAGGAGUCUACACGUUUAAUACACAUCCCAGGUUAAAUAAAAAGAAAGAAGAUGACUGGAGAGUUUACGUCAGGAGGACCCCACAGCCUCCCGAGUUUCCUCCCUCCCUUCACACUGCCCCUUCCUGAGCUUCCCGUCAUCAGCCCUGUCAUCUCCGUGCCACGUUCCUGCUGUGGCCAUCCCCACUCUCUCGCCCCUUUCAUGCCAUCUCUGGGGGUGAUCCCAAUGUGCCUUCAGUCGAGCAACUCUGGGUUCCAAAUAAAUCUAUGUUCUCUUGGAA
rnacentral:lncRNA from 10 species